AAGUCGUAACAAGGUUUCCGUAGGUGAACCUGCGGAAGGAUCAUUAACAAAUCUAUGAGCGAAAGCUCAUCAACCUUUGUGAAUUGGGUUGUAUAGUUGGUAACAAAUAUACAAUUUCGUUGGGGUCCCUUUGUGUAAUAGAAAGAUUAUUUCUAAAGAUUUUCUGAAGAUUAUUUCUAAAGAAUAUUUUGAAAGUUUUAAUUUUUUCUAUUGCAUAUAUAUUAACAUUGUCUGAUUAUAGAUUGAAGUCGUAAGAUUUCAAAUAAAAAUACAACUUUUAACAAUGGAUCUCUAGGCUCUU
rnacentral:misc_RNA from 1 species